AGGAUCCUGUUUCCCCCUCUCACAAUGACCACAAUAGAGGUUUAUUCACAAGCGAAAGUCUGUUUAUUACAUCUUUGAGUUGACGUUUGGAAGCACAUCUCUUCGGAAGGGGAUCCAGGCCAAAAUAACAAACCAAAGAGAAACUAACUAAGGGUUUAGAGAAGCUCAAAUUGCCUAACAAAAUAAAAAUUCCCAAAAGAAAUACGGAGGUCUUCCCUAACUCCCUCUCUGGCCAAAAACAGGAGAAAACGACGUUCACAAAAUAAAUGGCAAUCCCCAACCUACUGCUUCAGAAAUAACAAAUAGGUGUUUACAAAUAACGAAUACUAGCUAACAACCAAAAAAAACUCUUAAGGAUCGGAUUACAGAGGACUCCGAUAGGCUAUAGCUUAGUCCUUGCAGUUCAGGAAACGGUGUUUCCGCAGCGCCACUCAGAAUGGUUACACACACUAUCUUCUACGGCAAGGCAAUAACACCGUCGUUUAACAACACCACACAACCAACUGUUGUCUGGGCCAGGAGACAGAGGACGGAACGGCACGA